rnacentral:rRNA from 1 species
GUGCCAGCAGCCGCGGUAACACGUAGGAUCCGAGCGUUAUCCGAAUUUACUGGGCGUAAAGCGCGUGCAGGCGGCUGGGUAAGUUGGGCGUGAAAUCUCCCGGCUCAACUGGGAGAGGUCGUCCAAAACUACCCGGCUAGAGGGCGGUAGAGGGAGGUGGAAUUCCCGGUGUAGUGGUGAAAUGCGUAGAUAUCGGGAGGAACACCAGUGGCGAAAGCGGCCUCCUGGACCGCACCUGACGCUCAGACGCGAAAGCUAGGGGAGCGAACGGGAUUAGAAACCCCAGUAGUCC